rnacentral:rRNA from 1 species
CGGAAAGCCUGACGCAGCGACGCCGCGUGCGGGAAGAAGGCCUUCGGGUUGUAAACCGCUUUCAGGAGGGACGAAGCCACUCGGGUUAAUAGCCCAGAGGGUGACGGUACCUCCAGAAGAAGCCCCGGCUAACUACGUGCCAGCAGCCGCGGUAAUACGUAGGGGGCAAGCGUUGUCCGGAUUCAUUGGGCGUAAAGAGCGUGUAGGCGGCCAGGUAGGUCGGUUGUGAAAACUGGAGGCUCAACCUUCAGAGGUCGACCGAAACCAUCUGGCUAGAGUCCGGGAGAGGAGAGUGGAAUUCCUGGUGUAGCGGUGAAAUGCGCAGAUAUCAGGAAGAACACCCGUGGCGAAAGCGGCUCUCUGGAACGGUACUGACGCUGAGACGCGAAAGCGUGGGGAGCGAACAGGAUUAGAUACCCUGGUAGUCCACGCCGUAAACGAUGGGCACUAGGUGUGGGAGGUGUCGACUCCUUCCGUGCCGAAGCUAACGCAUUAAGUGCCCCGCCUGGGGAGUACGGCCGCAAGGCUA